rnacentral:rRNA from 1 species
AUGAACGCUAGCUACAGGCUUAACACAUGCAAGUCGAGGGGCAGCAUGUGGUUGCUUGCAACCAAUGAUGGCGACCGGCGCACGGGUGAGUAACGCGUAUCCAACCUCCCCCACAGUAGAGGAUAGCCCGGCGAAAGUCGGAUUAAUACUCUAUGUUGAUUUCGAGGACAUCUGACGAAUACCAAAGGUUUACCGCUAUGGGAUGGGGAUGCGUCUGAUUAGGUAGUCGGCGGGGUAACGGCCCACCGAGCCAUCGAUCAGUAGGGGUUCUGAGAGGAAGGUCCCCCACAUUGGUACUGAGACACGGACCAAACUCCUACGGGAGGCAGCAGUGAGGAAUAUUGGUCAAUGGGCGCGAGCCUGAACCAGCCAAGUAGCGUGCAGGAACCGACUGCCCUAUGGGUUGUAAACUGCUUUUAUGCGGGAAUAAAGUCAGGUACGUGUACCUGUUUGUAUGUACCGCAUGAAUAAGGACCGGCUAAUUCCGUGCCAGCAGCUGC